UACGGAGGGUGCGAGCGUUGUCCGGAAUCAUUGGGCGUAAAGGGCGCGUAGGUGGCCCGGUCAGUCUUUGGUGAAAGCGCGGGGCUCAACCCUGCGUCGGCCAGGGAUACUGCCGCGGCUCGAGCACUGUAGAGGCAGGCGGAAUUCCGGGUGGUAGCGGUGGAAUGCGUAGAGAUCGGGAGGAACACCAGUGGCGAAGGCGACUCUCUGGCCUGUAACUGACGCUGAGGUGCGAAAGCGUGGGGAGCAACAGGG
rnacentral:rRNA from 1 species